rnacentral:rRNA from 1 species
UCAAGCUAAUACCGCAUACGCCCUAAGGGGGAAAGCGGGGGACCUUCGGGCCUCGCGCUAUCGGAUGAGCCUGCGUAGGAUUAGCUAGUUGGUGGGGUAAAGGCCCACCAAGGCGACGAUCCUUAGCUGGUCUGAGAGGAUGAUCAGCCACACUGGAACUGAGACACGGUCCAGACUCCUACGGGAGGCAGCAGUGGGGAAUAUUGCGCAAUGGGCGAAAGCCUGACGGCAGCCAUGCCGCGUGUGUGAAGAAGGCCUUAGGGUUGUAAAGCACUUUCAAUUCCGGGAAGAAAAGUUUGUCGUUAAUAGCGCCAAGCUCUGACAUUACCUUUAGAAGAAGCACCGGCUAACUCCGUGCCAGCAGCCGCGGUAA